rnacentral:lncRNA from 1 species
GACGAUUUUCAGAUUUAUGUUUUUAAUGAUAUUCUUCUAUAGAGUGUAUAUCCAAGAAUCCAUGCCCCAUAAGCUGGGUAAAUGAGGACAAGUCUGGCUCAGUCUAAGGGAGUUAUUACAGAUUCCGGGGCGGGUGAUUAGAAACUCUCCAGUUAGGCCCAAGCAACUAUUUCUGUUGUACCUACUGUGAAAAGGCCGGGUCAUAGCACCUCUUCGCGGAGUCUGCUAUAGACUCAUGAUUGAAAAUUGCUGACUUACACAGGGAUUCUGCACGGAAAGAAGGGUACACAGCUGGAGAUUGUUUAGAGACAAUUAAGACUUAUUGGCUUUUCAGCUGGUGAUAAAGGCAGAGAGCUCGGAGACUCUUGGCAUCUUGAAAUUGUUACCCAGUUACACUUUAAGUUGGCAACUGACUUGAUCCGCUGGUUAGCCAAAGCCCAAGGGGCCGCAACACCCAGGAAAUCAUGAAGAAUGAUGUUGACUGGCCCAUCUUAAAUCGCUUGCCACCUGGACCAAUCACUAUGGCCCCCAGAGCAGAACCAUUUGAGAAGAGGCAGCUCCCUGGUGGAGCAUCCCAUGUGAGAGUGGGGAGAAGGACCACGCUCUACAGGAGGGAGGGUGCAGCGCUCAUCAGAAGCAAGGGAGGUGAACAACCCCUUGAGGAAUCAAUGUCUCCUUCAAAUGUUCCCCCUUUUUUACUGGCCAGCUCCAUCUCCUUCUCGGGUUGCACCUCAGGGGCCCUAGAAGCUUUCCCCAUUCGCAGCCCAAGCAUUCUGAGAGCUUGGGAGGGUUUGGUGAGUGAAGGUGAAAGAAAGGACAUAGGGAGGACGAGCAGAGCAAACUAUAUUUACUUCACUUACAUGCUUCAGGUCAGUCAUGUUUUGGGGAUCCUUCUCUGUGGUAUUGGUGUGUGCAAAACAGGAACAUCUGUCCUUUAACGUUGCUGCUCAAAAGGGAAUCAGUUUAUCAGGGGUGAAUUGUGUCUGUCUGGGAUGAUUUCUUAAAUCUCUUCCAGCCCAGUGAUUCUGGUAAUUGUCCUUGUUCCUGAUGUCCCAGCAAUUGUGACAUUCAAGCUCAGUUCUAAAUUAGUCUCCUCUCUUUCUUCUCUCCCCUUCUAGAGGAAUGAAGAGGAGAAGGGGGAGAGAAAUGAAGCUUCUGUGUGUUUUCUUCCAUCUGAACACUGCCAAUGUGUAUCUCCAUGUGAUUUUAUUGAAAUUUUGAGCUUCAUGAUCCUGCCACCAGUGAAACUUUGUUAGCCUUGCUUGCUGUCUGUGGGUGGACUAGGCUUGUAUAAUUAUAACAGAUUAAAAAAGGGAGUUCUGAAUUUCACUUGCCAAGGUUUUGUUUGAUAAAUUAAUACACAAAUAAGACAUUUUUUACAUUUUACUUCUACUAAUACCUAUAGCAAGAUGAUAUCAGUGAAUAUUUUAUAAAAUUUUAGAGUGUUAGAGCUAUGUGGAACUUCAGAAAUCCUCUGAAUCUACUUUAUUUUUUAAAGAUGAGAAAGAUGCUGAGGCUGGUGACACACAAGAGUUAGUUGAAGAAGUAGGCAUCUUAGCUCUCUCCAAGCCAGGGACUUUUCUAGUUUAUAUUGAUGCUUCUUACAUCUUAAAUCAAGUGGGUAAUUAGAAAACUUACGUUUCACUACUUUAUUUAGAUUAAUCAGAGUGGAGGAGUGUAGAUCAGUGGGUUCCAAACUUAUGGUAGUAAAUGUAGAAAUAGUGUUAACAGAAGAGUUAGCCCCAGGGUUUUCUCUCUUGAAAUUACUUGAUUCCAAACCCACUUUUAAGUCUCUUUCUCUCCUUUCCUCCCUCUCUCUUCUCUUGCUCCCACUCUUCCUGCAACGUAAGAUCCUUUUAGGUGGUCAGGACGCAUCUUGGUAUCUGGUUGCCUGGAAUUAAACAUAUUUCCCCAAGAAAUGCAUUUGUGUUUUCAAGAAGAAUAUUGUUUAAUUUAGAAAGAAUAAAUAAAUUCACAUAGCAAGAUUUGUCAAUAAUGGAUGAAAAUCACAGAAGCUUGACAUGGAAACUUCUCUCAUUAUUCAUUUCAAAGCUGUAAUGGAUUUUUAGAAGAACAGAGCAUUUUUGUAGAAAGUUUUAUAGAUUGUAAAGCGCUUUCAUAUACAUAAAAUCUUAUUUGAUUAGGGUUGCCAGAUUUGACAACAACAACAAAAAAGAACACCUACUUAGAUUUGAAUUCCAGAU